rnacentral:rRNA from 1 species
GUGGGGAAUAUUGGACAAUGGGCGAAAGCCUGAUCCAGCCAUGCCGCGUGUGUGAAGAAGGUCUUCGGAUUGUAAAGCACUUUAAGUUGGGAGGAAGGGCAGUAAGUUAAUACCUUGCUGUUUUGACGUUACCGACAGAAUAAGCACCGGCUAACUUCGUGCCAGCAGCCGCGGUAAUACGAAGGGUGCAAGCGUUCAUCGGAAUUACUGGGCGUAAAGCGCGCGUAGGUGGUUUUGUAAGUUGGAGGUGAAAUCCCCGGGCUCAACCUGGGAACUGCAUCCAAAACUGAAUGACUAGAGUACGGUAGAUGGUAGUGGAAUUUCCUGUGUAGCGGUGAAAUGCGUAGAUAUAGGAAGGAACACCAGUGGCGAAGGCGACUACCUGGACUGAUACUGACACUGAGGUGCGAAAGCGUGGGGAGCAAACAGGAUUAGAUACCCCAGUAGUCC